ensembl:lncRNA
UUAUUCAUUGAGUGAAUCAGUGAGUCAUAACAUCCGCGUCCAGCUGCUUCACAGAAGAUCAAAGUCAUCAUCUGACUUGAGGUGAUGUAUUCAUUUAUUAAAAUGACCUACUUACAAGUAACCCUCUACAGUAACAAUCACAUAAUGAAGCAAAGUGCAACAUUGCGAUGCCAUUAGCACUAGAUUCUUAAAUGUUGUUUGAUUUGGGGGUACUUUGAGUUCAAUGUUGCGCAAUACUCAACUUAUGCCCGUUUGAAACCAUGGCAACUCAUUCCACCUGAUAAACAGCACAAGACCAAGUGAAUCAUUCGUGUUUCCUCACAGUGUCAAAGAAAGAACUCAACCGAUUACUUCACGCUGCCAGAUUAUUUUAGAUAAGCGUGCUCAUUGAAUAAGAACAUAAUGAUAAAGGAACUUUGCGUUUGCAAAUGCUUGUUGAAAAACGCAUAACAACUCUCUCUCAGCAGUGAAGUGAACUUGCACGCUGACUGGCCGCGCCCACAAAACCUGUCAGCCAACACAAUUAAUAUUAAUGUGCAGCCAGGAACAUAUCAGCACUUGUUCCGUGUUAUUGUUUAGCUUCAUUGGUUAUCUUACACUAGUUCCAACUGAAAUACUUGAAGAAGUCACCAUUAUUACCAGUAAUGUGCAUGUGUGUGUGUGUAUAAAUGUGUGCAUGUUUGUAUGUGUGGGCGUGUGUUCCAAUGUCGGGACCAGGAAACUAACAGUGGCAGGAGGAGGACUCAGGGACAAACGAAAGCAGAUACAAUGUGCACCAGAGGGAGACCAGCUGCUUGGCAACUCCGCGGCCAACAACACGGCCAUCACACCGCCCGCGGACCUCCAGAGUCGGAUCCGCGUACAUAAAGAAGAGUACCUGAUCGGGUUCCAGAUCAGCCAUCUCACACACAAGGACUCGGGGGUUUAUAGGGUGGAAUGCUGGAAGAACCAGACGCUGGACAGCCAGCAGAAACAGGAGCUGUUUGUGUGCAAUGAGGAAACCUCACCUGAAGAGAUUCAUGUGAAGGAAGAAAACGGAGGGGCUGAGAUUCAAUGCAACAGCAGAUACAUCGGUUUGGAGGGAACCUCUGUGCGCUGGUACUACGAGUCGUAUCCCUCAUACAAGCCAACGCUCCUCCUGGAUAGCAGCGUGUCGUUGGUGCCGCUGGUGGAGGAGCUACAGAGUGUGGUGGAGGUCAGAGAUCACGGGACAUUGCUCUUACUCAAAAACAGCCAGUUAAAGAAAAAUCUGCAUUUUAUUUGUCUUGUGAGCAAAGGUGAGAACUGUCUCAGUUUUCAGAAUGUGGAACCGUCAGAUGGCAGUGACAGCAGGUACAUUUUUGCCUUGGACGGGGACAAAGUGGUGUUACCAUGCCCCUCUGAAGGGAACGACCAGCACUGGGAGUCUCCCUUUGGGAGGGUCGAUGGUGACAGCGAGAAGAUGCACGUGUCAUUCGGUGACAAAUCUGAAGACUUCUCAUUGGUAAUUCCUGCUUUUUCUGAUGAGCUCAGUGGGGACUAUUCGUGCAUCUCCUCCUUGCUUGAAUUGCAGUACUUUCUGGUUAAUUGUUACCAAAAAGAAUCCCAAGAAAAAGUUGCCGUUGAGGGCGGGAACGCGCUGCUGGAGUGCCACGCUGACAGAGACGAUAUCCAAAGGGUGCAGUGGCACCGCCGAGAGCCUGGAUCGGGCAAAAAUAAACUUAUCUACGACUCAAGGGACGCGACUGUUCACAUCCCCGGGGAUCUGAGAGGAAGACUGUCUCUGUCUGAGAAUGGCUCCUUGUUCAAUAUAUUCCACCUGGAGGCGAGAGACCAAGGAGUGUACUGGUGUGUUGUUUUAGAAGACAACUUCCUGGACGAAUACACAGAUGAUACUGAGGAUGCAGACUCUGAAGAGCAAAUAGAGGAUGACCAGUACUUCGACGAUGACACAUUCAAAUGCAUUUUCAAACAGGAGACCGAUUUGAGGGUAGAAAUUCGGCCCACCAUAAAAACAGUAGUAGUAGAAAGGAGCCCGAAAUCUGCCCCCGAAGCCGAUCCAUCAACAGGCUCUAAUGUUGCUGCCUAUGCUGUGGGUGCAGGACUGGCAGUGCUGCUGCUGGUGGUUGGAGGGAUUGUAGCAGUGAUUGUAAUAAAGAGGAAAGCAGAGGUCACAGCGAACAGAGAAUUAACAAUAAGAGUGGAUCCUGGUUGUACUGAAGUUGUUUUUUAUUUUUCUAAGUCAUCACAACCUCCAUAUCAUUUCUAUCAUCUUGUGAUAGCGAGUCAGGAAGAUUCCCAAGACAUUAUGUAAAGUGCUUGCAUGAGUUAUUGACUGUAGCUGACUGUUGACAUAUUGAUUCAACUGUGCAUUUCAUAAAACAAUAUAAUGUCCUGUUUGUAUUUUAACAAAUGUGUGAAGCGUGCAUUGACAUAUUAAUAAACACUUUGAAGAAAGAAUCUGGAAAAUGUUUCAUCCUCAGUAUAUAAUCUCAUUUUGUUCCGUAGAAACCGAGAAAGCCAACGCUUGUCUCAUUGGGCUGCGAUUAUCCAUGUUCUGAGUUAAUGAGCAGGUUUUUUACCUGCUGAAGGAAACUCGUCUGCAUCACGGCCAACUAAACACGUGUCCUGUCACGCCGGUAACAUCGGGGUCUAGAAAGGCUCCUGUCAAAUAUAUACAGGCAUAGCAAUUUCAGUAGUUAAAGCGUUAGCUUCAACGUAGUUAUUCUGUCCAAAAGAGUUUAUCUCAACAAAAGGGAAAGGUUGGAAAACGAAAAGUCAUUAAAGGAUUUGCUUCAUGGCGGAGAAUUAAAUCAGACAAUCCUCUCAUCUAACUCUUGGCAAAUAAAUGAUUAUACAUAUAUCCAAAUUGUUGUUUUAAAUUGGGUAAAAUAUUAUAGUAUAACUAUUAGGGCCAUAUUGACUUGCAGGGGUCAAAUUACCGAAUGUGCUUUGACACUCAACAAACAAGCUGCAAAACUGACGAUCCAAAACCUGUUUUGAUUUUAAUACUCCUACACACUUCACCCCUUUGAGCCUUGAUAAAUAUGUAUUAUCCACAGCAGUGCCGAUACAUCCAAGGAGGAAAUAUGGUUUUCUCUUGCCGGCGUAUAAAAAAACACACACAAAAUUGUAUUCCAUUGUUCUUAAUUUGAUGUUGGGCCAAUAUUUGAUACUGCAGCUGCAGAGAACAAAUGGACCUUUAGGGGAAUCCAAAACUAAUUGUUUACCUGUGUGUAAUAACAUCUCUUAAUAACAGAAUAGUUUAAUGAAAAAACGUCGGAUUAAGCCACGAACGAACUAUGAUAGCUAUGAGUAAAAGGAGUAAUUUAGACAUUUGCCCCAAUUUUGUUUUAAUAGAUACCUUUAAAAAACACAUCCACGAUCCAUGGAUAUGCUACUGUGGUAGGAAAAGACAAACAAUGUCUGUAGCAAAGAAAAAUACAGCCACAGUUGUCAAAUUGUUCCUGACAACUUGUUAAAAUGAGUUUGAGAAGCACGGAUGAAUCACGCCCCCUUUGCAGGCCUGAUGGAGACACAGAUGUGAAAGAAGAGCAGCUGCUCGGUGCUCUCAGGUGUAAUUACGAGAGGGCUCGGCCACACAAAAAGGCCCCCGGGAGGCCCGACGCAGCGGCGGGGGGGGGGGGGGGGGGGGUCGGUGGCCCAGAGGGUGGGAAGACCAAGCAGCCGGCUCCCCUCCCCUUGUUACGGGGAGAGACUAUAAAUGGAAGUGGCUUAAUUGUGGAGGCAUCUGUCAGACCCUCUGUGUGCGUGUGGAAGGGCGGGUUUUCAGCCUCCAUCUGCGCAGCGUGCGGGUUUGAGCGUAAGCAAACUCUGAGUCAUCGCAUUGGCAGUGCAGAACCAAAGUUAGAAAAAAAUACAAUUCUAUUAAACCAGCCAGGAAAUUGUGUUUUAGUAAUUGUUAGGAUGAUCUGAUGUUCAGACAUACACACUCCAUUUUUUACACCAAUGUAACAAUCCAAAAUCACAGCUGGGAGAUGUUAAUUUGAUGCCCCGUGGCUACGCCUGCCCCCCCACCACCACCCGAUGGCACCUGUUUCUGCCCGGUCAGGGGACAACAUUCUGUAGAAUCAGCAGGGCUGUUGGGCGCUGCCGGUCAGUGCCUGCGGGGUCUCAAUCUGCUGUAAUUUGCCAGGCCCAUUACUCCCCCAAAAAGCGAACGCUGUGAGCCUUGUGAGUGUGAAACAGUUUGGUGGAAUAGAGAGAGAGGGGGGGGGGGGGAGCAAGAGAGACAGAAAGAGAGAGAGAGAAGGAAGAGGGGGGGAGAGAGCACCUUGCUAUUUGCCAGUGUCUGAUGUGUUGUGCUAAUGGCACCAAUUAUGCAGCAGAGAGCACCGCUGAUGGGCUGGUUUUCACACAGCAGAAAUGCUGGGAGUAAAACGGCUGCAGCGGAAACCUCACGGGUAGCAAAACCCCCCCCCAAAAAAAAGGGAGUGAUGUUAGGGAGACGAGCCUCUCGGGGCUUUUCCUCCCUGUGAUAGCAGGCCGCUCCCUACCCAGACGCGAGGAGGCGUCUGGUUGGGUCGCAGCCACGCAGGAAUUUAUGGCUGUUAUUUUCAGAUGGCCAAUCCAAGCGAAACCGGGACCAAUCAAACACUCUCAACAAAAGUGACUUCGCCCGUGGAAGUCUCAAAGGCUUUCGGUGGAUUCGAUUUGAAGCCUUUGACUUUGGAACCAGUGGGCGUGUGUUCCCGGGAUGCUGUGAUAAUACAACUUCCGCUCCCGUGUGCGGUGAAACCCGUCGGAGAGAAGAAGGUGCACCAGAGGUAUAUAUUAUUUGUAAUCCUCUGGCAUUGUUGCUCAUUGUGUGAUGUUUGCAAGCAACAACCGUUUCAUGUUCUGGAAUGAAGCAUCACAAGUGAACAUUUUGAGAAGAGUCUGCUUGCACGCAAAAGGGAAGCUGGGCCAGAAGAAUCGCUGUCAUGUAAUUGGCUCCUCGGGCGUGACAGAAGUAAAAGAGUUGUUUUAUGAAUGUCUUGAUGGGUGCGAGGAGAAAACUUGAGAGAAAAGAGAAGUUUUAAUUUCAUUACACGAGGCCUGGAGUCGCCCAUGCGCAGAAGCCGGAUGAUUACACGCCCUACAGUGUGGAAGCAGAUUUUUAGUUGUUGUUGUUGUUGCACACAGCAGGGUUUGACAACACAACUGUGCAGCCAACUUGCUCACUCAUCUGCAUAUGAAAUAAAAAUAAUUGCGAGGGGGGGGGAAAUGAGACCAUCUAUAUUCAAGAGAUCUCUCCAAAAACAAUCACACAGCGUGGUGAAGGCGAGCCAGCGCAGCCACACCUCUGAUGCACAGAUGGCGUGCGUAAAAAACCCCGUCCGUUGCCCCUCCCCGCUCUCCCUCCAUCCUCCUCGCCGCAGAAGCCUCUCUUUCUGGUGUCCAUCUCGUCCCUCGCGUCCCAACCUUGUCCCUUGUUCGUCUCAUCGCCCCGCGUGUCACUCAACGUAUUCCUCUCGGGCAGCGGAGCGCCUCGACCAGCCACCCGACCGUAGCCUUUAAUUCAAUAAAUGAAGGCUUGCAGAAAGUUGGCAGGGAACACCACAGCUGGGUAAAUGUUGGCCCUGAAAGCUUCGGGUUCAUAAAGACGGGGCCGUUCCUUCUGUGAUUUAGAAACAGCCAGCGCAGGGAUUGUCUGCGGGCUAAACAAAUUCGUGCCAGAUGAUGUUCUUCUCCCUUAAUAGCCUGUUGAAGACGGAGCACAGGGCAGCCCAGUCAGGAGUUCUCUGUGCUUCACGAUAACAGGCAACCAAAGUGACUCAGACACUGAGUCUGAUUGGGGUCAGAAUCAUUGAAUUCAGACAUGACCUCAAGGGAUGUUAGACUCAUAGAAAACUCCAUAUCUUACCAACAUGGAUCUUUUAUGCGAAGUAUUAAACAUCUUUUAAUUCAAUUUUAAGAAAUAGACAUUAUUUUUGGUGUUAGU